rnacentral:rRNA from 1 species
CAGUAGCCGCGGUAACACGGAGGGUGCAAGCGUUAAUCGGAAUUACUGGGCGUAAAGCGCACGCAGGCGGUUUGUUAAGUCAGAUGUGAAAUCCCCGAGCUUAACUUGGGAACUGCAUUUGAAACUGGCAAGCUAGAGUCUUGUAGAGGGGGGUAGAAUUCCAGGUGUAGCGGUGAAAUGCGUAGAGAUCUGGAGGAAUACCGGCGGCGAAGGCGGCCCCCUGGACAAAGACUGACGCUCAGGUGCGAAAGCGUGGGGAGCAAACAGGAUUAGAUACCCCUGUAGUCCCUGUCUCUUAUAC